AGUGAACGCUGGCGGUAGGCCUAACACAUGCAAGUCGAACGGCAGCACAGUAAGAGCUUGCUCUUCCGGGUGGCGAGUGGCGGACGGGUGAGGAAUACAUCGGACUCUACUUUUUCGUGGGGGUUAACGUAGGGAAACUUACGCUAAUACCGCAUCCGACCUACGGGUGAAAGCAGGGGAUCUUCGGACCUUGCGCGAUUGGAUGAGCCGAUGUUGGAUUAGCUAGUUGGCGGGGUAAAGGCCCACUAAGGCGACGAUCGGUAGCUGGUGUGGGUGGAUGGUCGCCGGCACGGGAGCGGAGACACGGACCAUGGGACUACGGGAGGCACCAGUGGGGAAUAUUGGACAAUGGGCGCAAGCCUGAUCCAGCCAUACCGCGUGGGUGAAGGAGGCCUUCGGGUUGUAAAGACCUUUUGUUGGGAAAGAAAAGCAGCAGGUUAAUACCCCGCUGUUCUGACGGUACCCAAAGAAUAAGCACCGGCUAACUUCGUG
rnacentral:rRNA from 1 species